UUUGCGUACCUUUAAAUCUGUUGAGCUGCGUAUUUCGGUGAGGAGACGUGUGCGUGUGCCCACUUUGACGGAGAGAUCGACCAGGCGCCGCAGGAACACAGGCGGAUCGUCUCCGGUCGAUCUGUCCUCGACAAUGAGUUCGACGUUCCUGCGCACCAAAUCGUUACUUUUCGUUCGUGCGAACAGCGUGUAAUGUCCGGCAUCCUCUCGCUGCACAUGCUCCACGGCCAACUGGACGGCAUUGCUGGUUUGCGUUAUCCGAAAGCGAUCCGAGUUCUCAAUAGGUAUUUCUCCGCGGCUCCUGAAAGUGAAAGAUUAGUGCCACACCAAGAAGCGGCCAUGAUCCGGUGGCAUAAAAUUGAAAUGUUUUGACGCACGCCAGACCGAAUUCCGUUCAAUACCCGAGACAAUUUCACUGGCGCAACACGAAAAAUCACGGACGACGAACGCUAGACGGGGGAGGCAAUGCGACGCGUCGCGGGCCGAUGCGAUUUGUUAAUGCAGCUAUAUUUAGACGAUCGUAAUAGUUUUCAGGCCCGCCACACGCAAAAUAUGGGACAGGUACCAGCUGUGAUUUAUUGAGUAUACGCCACGGGCGCCCCCAGAUUUACGCACUACGUAUACGUCUGAUCCCUCUGUGUGUGUAUAUAUAUAGAACUUUCGUAUGGCCGAACACGAAUGCUGAUGCUGCGGAUAGCCGGAUGGGCAACGGAUAUGUUAAUGCGCCGAUCGUCAAAGUGGAACUGUCCGCUCAUUUCGGUGGGCCAGAGGCACGCCAUACGCCAUAGACCCCUAGAGCAGGUUGAGCAAUGCCACAGCACGCAGCAACCGCAGGAGAGGCACAGCACUAGCUCUCGUGGCGCAGUCGCCGGUGGAACUGCUCGCUCUCUGGGUCUCUGCUCAAUAGAGCGUUUGAAGGAGAACUCAUAUGUUAAUGCGCACAAUUCUGCCAUUAUGCAGACCAGGCACACACUAGGACGGGAUACGGGCAAGGUCUGAGUGAAUCACCAGCGGCAAGUGCACAGGUAGACAGGCAGAACAGAGCCAAACAGGCAGAUUUAUAAGUGGAUAUGACUUACCAUUCGAAUUUGAAGGGCAGCAAUUCGGACUCCUCAUCCUCAUCGCAAUCGAUUUUCACAAAGAAUGUUGCCCGCUCGUUGGGUAUGCAGCGAAUCAAAGAGCUGGAGUUAUCGCUGAACGUGAUGCGGGGUGGUGGUCUGCGCUGGAUCGUUUCCGAUACUGGUUCCUGGCCAGGAGGUUCUGUCAAGGAGAAUGGGGAAUAUCAUUUGGUGCGUAUGUCAUGACUAAUCGGUUUCUAUGUUGCGGUGUCUUGGGAAGUUUCACAAAAGAUAAAUUAUAAUAAAUAUUUGCAGAAAUGUCAAAGAUUCCCCAAAAAGAACUGAACAUAAAUUUUAUGCCGACAACAAGGCAGGCGCGCUCAUCCCAAUUCCGUGUAUAUUCGACUGGGAGAUACCCUAAACUGUAAUAAACUUUCCCUUAGAAUUCGGUUGGAACAUUAUCUUCCAUCAAUUUCUAUGAACUUUCCUUUCUAAGCUCUAAAAAUCUGCAUGCUUAUGAUGCUAAAUACAUGUAUUGUAUUCUAAGGAAUAAUAUUGACCGCUAUACCCUCUGAAUACACCGAGUAUUCAGAAUUGGCACUAAAAAUAGUUCCAAAUAUUAUUCAUACACGCAAGACAAGAAACUAUUCUAGAGCAUGUCGAAUCUUUCCUUUCCGCCUGAGAAACCAUAAUCAAAUGUGAUUCCCAAAUACUAUUGAAAUAUUAAGGAACAUCUCGAUCUUGGCUACGAACAGAAUGACACUCGGGCAGAAUGGCCAGCAGCAGCAGCAACAGCGCAUUUUCCAACGUACAAUUAUGAAAAUUUCUCAUACACAUUUCCCAAUUACGUAACCAGCUACCAGAAGUCUAGCAGACGCGGAUACGGACAAAGACGAAGCAGAGCCCGUGGAAUGCCAUAAAAAUACACAUAAAUACUCAUGAGAUCCCAUUGUCUGUUCGGGAAUCGCCCGGGCACGGGCACUGGCAAGGGAGACAGAACAGAAAAGGGGAGGGGACAAAAAAGGAGAAAUCGUUCGCUUUCCCGGUGUCUGGGGCCUUUUUUUACUUAUGCUUACCUACUACGACGGCAGCCUCUUCAGCGGCGGCUGCUGGCGAUGUUUCCAUGUUCAGGUCUCGCUAUAUAAUUAGCCAAAAACAGGGCCACCAAGCGGACAGGGGGCCGGUUGGGGGUUACGGGUACACACUUUCAGGACGACUUUCUCUAUAGGAUUAGUCCGCUAUAUACCGAAAAUUUUUAAAUAUUUUUAAAUGCGGCUUUAGCCGCCGACAGGCGAUUUUCUUAUUUAUUUAUAUUUAGAACUCUCGACGCACACACAAACGUGAACGAACAGAACACGGAUUAUAAUUGAAAUUUUCCACUUUUUCGAUUGGUGAUUACUCGUAUUUGCUUUAAACAAUAUAUAUUGGUUAACAUAUAAUUAGGAUCUAUUCAGAUUUUUUGCCUUUUCUGGCAUUGCAUUGCAAAUGGCUGCGUUUCUUUUUCAAAUUUCCACCAGACCAGACCAGACACACUGCAUAGACACACACUCACAGAAAUUGACACAUUUGUGAACACAGAAAUGUUCAUUUCUUUUCUUUCUAUAUAUAAAUAAUAUAUACAACACGGCGUUCGACUUCGAGGGCGCGCACCACGUCCAGCAGACACCUCCUGGAUCUCCGAUCGUUUUGCUCAGACUGAACAGAGCAGGCAACAGAUCAGCCAGCGCCAGUGCCAGUCCAUGCCACCAGCAAAACACACACCGCGCCGAGAGAGGCAGAGACCAUAGACCCAGGGAGAGCUCUCAGAGAAUUCUUGAGGAUGCGCAAAGAUUUGCGCAUGUUUUUUCAAACAUUUAUUUCUGAUUGUGCAGCACACAAACACACACGUACAACUGGUCUCACACUGUCUCACAUUAGGUAUAAAAUAAAUACGUUUCUUAGAGUACGGCUGUCCGUGUUCUUUCUCAGGUGUGUAGUAAGUACAAUACAUGCUGCACUCGACCAGGCGCUAAGGCAAUCAUUUUGCUUAAGCAUAAGACACACAUCGAUCGAUCGAUCAAAAGUACAUUAGGGGUUAAUUGAUGAAAAAAAUACAAAAAUUGCACGGAGCGUUUCAACAAGUGGCUGGCACUUACUCCUUGUACGUUUAGUUGUUCGAUAAAGCUAGGUUAUUGUCGGGAUUGUCCGGAAGGGAAUCCUGCCUCACACCGAAUAGAAAUGGGUAUGGAAUUUUGUGCGACAUGAGGGCUCCGUAAACGGCGAAAACCAGGCAAGCGAAAACCGCCCAAAAACCGACUGAAUGCUCUUGAUGCGCGACUUCUUAGCCCAGCGGGCCUCCUCCUUCUUCAGUUGUUCAAUUCCCUGCAAAAAAAAAAAAAAAAACAAAACAAAAAUUAAUCCAAAUAAUUCUUUAAACAAUUGGUAUUCACUCACCGUCUGAUCGUUAAAAAUGGCUGUCAGCUGAGUUGCCAGCAUUAUGAUGGUGAAUAUGCCAAACAUCAAGCCCUCGAACGUGAGAAAGAGCAGCAGGAAUAUGGUGGAUGGCGGUGAGUACGGCGAGCAUGUGCGCCAAUCGUUCUUCACGCACUCUGCGAACUGCGUGAGCACUAGAAAGAGCGUAUGCAGCGAUAUCGAGGCAAUGUAGAACUGCAGAGAGAGAGAGAAAGAGUGAGAGUAAGCGUGCGUGGAAGCCGACAAAAAGUUCCUCAUUCGCUUACGGUGAAGAGUACAAAGUACUUUUGAUUGUUCUCUCCCACGCAAUUGUUAACCCAAGGGCAAUGGUGAUCCAUUUUCCUAAUACAUCGCUGGCAGACGGAGCAAUGAUGUGCCCGCUCGGGCUUGAUGCUACAGCACUUGGGGCACUUGUAGAACAUCUGACCCUCUCGAUAGCCCAUCUGUUCAAUCAUUUCCUUGGUAGCAUUUCCCCUUGGCACAGCGCCC